rnacentral:rRNA from 1 species
CACGGGGGGAGCAAGCGUUGUUCGGAUUCAUUGGGCGUAAAGGGCUCGUAGGCGGCCAACUAAGUCGGACGUGAAAUCCCUCGGCUUAACCGGGGAACUGCGUCCGAUACUGGAUGGCUCGAGUAUGGGAGAGGGAAGUGGAAUUCCUGGUGUAGAGGUGAAAUUCGUAGAUAUCAGGAGGAACACCAGCGGCGAAGGCGGCUUCCUGGCCCAUUACUGACGUUCAGGCACGAAAGCGUGGGGAGCAAACAGG